CCUACGGGAGGCAGCAGUGGGGAAUAUUGCACAAUGGGCGAAAGCCUGAUGCAGCAACGCCGCGUGAGUGAUGAAGGCCUUCGGGUUGUAAAGCUCUGUCUUCUGGGACGGUAAUGACGGUACCAGAGGAGGAAGCCACGGCUAACUACGUGCCAGCAGCCGCGGUAAU
rnacentral:rRNA from 1 species